AUGGGCGCGCGCUACCUUGGCCAGGUAGGCGGACAUAAGCCUUGUGAGCCCGAGUUUGGCUAUGUGCACAUGUCCCCGUUUGGGACCGGUUUUGUCUUGCCACGACGGUGGUCGUUGGAUGUCCAGAGUGGCAUUGGGGCCACCCAUGACUUAGCCCAAAGGGGAGUUUGUCAGAGUGGUUGGGAGAGUGUCAUGGCAAUAGAUCAGUUUUGUCGGAACGCCGUUGGUCCACCCAAAUGGGAACACGAGGCCAUGGGUUCCGUGGUGUGGGUACAGUGUGCUAACCUCUGCAGAGUGUUUAAUCUAUUGAUAGCCAUGCCCGCGGAUAAGGUGAAGGAAAUAUGCCCUAGAGGCAAUAAUAAAGUUGUUAUUUAUUUUCUUAUAAUCAUGAUAAAUGUUUAUUAUUCAUCCUAG
rnacentral:rRNA from 1 species